UUGGGUAUUGGGUUUAUGUGGGUAUUGGGUAUGGUAGGUUUAUUUGGGUAGGUAAGUUAAUUAGGUUGGGUUGAUGGAUGGGUGUUGGAUGUGGAUUUUGGUGGGUUAUUUGGUUUAGGGUAAGUGGGUUAAAUGAGGGUGUGAAUAUUUAUUUGAUUUGGUUUUUUUUUUGGGAUUUCAUGAAGGUUAGGAAAUUUGAGUAUUU
rnacentral:lncRNA from 1 species